CAGUGACAUAGCAGAGUAGACUGAGAAUGGAGUUCUCUGUGAGAGGCCUACUGCACAAGCAAAGAGUGGUAUGAAGUAGCAAAGAACAUCAUACAGCAUCAUCUUGCGGGAUCUCAGAUGAGGCUCAAAUAUUUGGACAGCAGUCAGUCAACAAACUUUAGCACUUCAGUUCCAGCCAUAUUUACAUCUGGAAACCAUGAAUUUCCCUUCAAAUGUUGACUAUAGCAUCAAAGAUGUCAGGAGUUCACAGUUGUGUUCUGAUGUGACUCUUGAGGCUGUUGGAAUUGACUGGGGUGAAAGCAUAAAAAUAAAAAUUCUACUAAUCAGCCUACUUUCUCUGUCUCUACAACUGGACUAAAUUUGGUUCAAAUUGAGGUCUACAAGUUAGUUCUCUUGCACCUCAGGUGUUCACACGUCCGCCAUCUUGAAUCAGGGUGGAUGACAUUGUCACAAACUGCCAUUGAGGUGUCCCUGUGUGUCAUUCACUACAACUACAGCUAAUUUGGUUCAAAUUGGUUAGUCAGCCCACUUGUGGCUCAAACAUUCAUGUGUCUGCCAUCUUGAUUUGGGGUAGAUGACAUAAUCAUCUAUGCCAUUGAGGUUUCUCCAUGUGCCCCUACAGCUGUAGUGAAUUUGGUUUGGUGUCUCUACAGUUGUACCCGAUUUGGUUCAUAUUGGUUCAGGUGUUGAAAAGUUGAUGGGGUGCGGGGGACAGGACACACACAGAGUGCUGGGUGAACUCAAGCCUUUUUAAAUAGUUCUUUUCUUGAUAAAGGAACAAUUUCCUCACUAAAGACAUGAAAUAGUGCCCUAAAAUGUCUUGUGAAUUUAUUUUCUUUGGAAAUUUGAAAUGGGGUGGGGAAACAGAAUGUUACUGCAUCAGUUAUGUCUUCAUGGUAGGGUAUGCUGAUGCUGUUAAAAUGGCACUUGUAAAUCUCUACAACUAUUGUGCCAUUGUAUAUAUGUAUUGUAGCUACAUUAUAAUUUAGUCUUCAUUGCCUUAUUAGCACUUGGGGAGAAAUGCUGGGAAAUAUACUCAACAAAUGUGUUUCCACAACAGGGAGUUUACAUGUCAAUUCAGUGAAGUCACUGUGGGCCACUGUGUGAAACAGGAUGCUGGACUAGAUGGGCCUGAUCCAGCAGGGCUGUUAUGUUCACUUCAGUGAACUUCCACUGAACUGGAAGGGCUUGCUCUUAUAUUUUGCAUGUUAGGACACCUUUUAACACAAAAUGGCAUUAGUUUUAGCCAUAUAACAAAAGUUAGAGGUGGGUGCUUUGAAGUCUGAUUUGGCAAGUCUCAAUAAAAUUGCCUGAAAACUACAGAAACUGCAGUUGGUACAAAAUAAGGCUGCAGGAUUAACUUGGGCUGGGCAUUUUGAGCAUAUCACACCAGUGCUUCAUCAGUUGCGCUGGGUCCCAGUCUGUUUCCAGCCCCAAUUCAAAGUGCUGGUUUUAACCUUAAAAGGACUUGGGAGGGGGUUACCUGAAAGAGCACCUUGCCCCAUAGGUCCUAACCCAUACCUUGAGGCCAUCUUUGGGGACCGUGCUCCAACUGCCCCUGCCAAACAAGGUGAGGCGGGUGGCUAUUGGGGAGCCUUUUCAGUGGUGGCACUGGAUGGAAUAGCCUCCCCAAUGAGGCUCUUCUGGCACUUUGUUCUUAGAGACAUUGAGGACCUUUCUGUAUGCCCAGGCUUUCAAAUUUGAUUUUUGGAAUGGAUUAAAAACAAUUUUUUGGAAA